rnacentral:rRNA from 1 species
AUUGAACGCUGGCGGCAUGCUUUACACAUGCAAGUCGAACGGUAACAGGUUAAGCUGACGAGUGGCGAACGGGUGAGUAAUGCAUCGGAACGUGCCCGAUCGUGGGGGAUAACACUUCGAAAGAAGUGCUAAUACCGCAUACGAUCUGAGGAUGAAAGCGGGGGACCGUAAGGCCUCGCGCGAUCGGAGCGGCCGAUGUCAGAUUAGGUAGUUGGUGGGGUAAAGGCUCACCAAGCCGACGAUCUGUAGCUGGUCUGAGAGGACGACCAGCCACACUGGAGCUGAGACACGGCCCAGACUCCUACGGGAGGCAGCAGUGGGGAAUUUUGGACAAUGGGCGCAAGCCUGAUCCAGCAAUGCCGCGUGCAGGAAGAAGGCCUUCGGGUUGUAAACUGCUUUUGUACGGAGCGAAAAGGCUCUCUCUAAUACAGGGGGCUCAUGACGGUACCGUAAGAAUAAGCACCGGCUAACUACGUGCCAGCCGCCGCGGUAA